UCCAAAACCCAGGAAUAUUAAUAUUACUGCACAAGAAACUCAAGAGCCAGUGGGUUUCAUCAUCAGUCAUUAUUGAUUUCUGUUUACACCAGAGCUUUAAAGAAACAACAAACAAAUUAUGAUGUAGGAUGAGGUUGCAGCCCUGACUGGAAUAAAAGAUUUUUGGGAUAGCUGCAAGACUUCAAAGGAAGAGUUUGUGCCUCUAAGAAGCCACUUGCAAAGUAACUUCUGUAGCUGUUCCCAGCUGGGCUGGAGAAGUGUUUUUGGCAGAAAGAGCGUAUAUUUCUGAAAGCCUGGCAUUACUGAAUUGCUCACAAAGCACUGAAAAACACUACUUGCCGAGGAACAGUUUGCUGGUGUGGGUUUGAGGUUUUUUCCUUUCUUUUCUCUUUUACUGAUGAAAUAAGCCUACAUCAAUGACCCUGCUAUCUUGUAAUCCUAGAUGUGUUACCAGGCAACCAUUAUAUGCAGCAGCACCUGGCUUGCCCCUCUCUAUAAAUAACCCAAGCCUCCCAAAUCCUUUCACUCCAUGCACUAAUGAAAGUGGCAUUUUUCUACUGCUAAAUGCUUACUCAGCACAUCUGUUAAGUAGAUGGGCUCCUCACUCAGGCAUAAACAUGAGAAAAAUUGGAUGUUUACAGACUGGAUUAUGCUUGGGGUAGCACAGCUGAGAGAAGAGCUGGACAAUGAGGACAGUAU